rnacentral:tRNA from 2 species
GCAUCCGUAGCUCAGCUGGAUAGAGUACUCGGCUACGAACCGAGCGGUCGGAGGUUCGAAUCCUCCCGGCUGCACCA